GCCCCGCUAGCUCAGUGGACCAGAGCGGCUGCCUUCUAAGCAGCGGGUCGGGGGUUCGAAUCCCUCGCGGGGCA
rnacentral:tRNA from 1 species